AUGGUCCUUGGCUACUCCCACUCCGAUAGCCAGAGUAUCGCUAAUCGACUCAACUAUCGGCUCGGGUCCUUCCCCACCACCUACCUGGGGAUCCCCAUUAGCGACUCUCAGCUCUCCGUGGCGGAUCUAAGGCCCUCGGUGCUCAAGCUUCAGCACUGUAUCAAGCCUUGGAAGGGCCGAUGGUUGUCUAAAGCGGCUCGGACGAUCCUCAUCAACUCGUCCUUGUCCAGCCUCCUCUUGUUCAUCAUGAGUUUCUACAGCCUGCCCGAAACAUUGCACCAUGAGAUCGGCUCUGUCCAGGCACACUUCUAUUGGGUUGGCGAGGGUGAUAAGCAGAAAUACCAUAUGGUGAUUUGGACUGACGUCUGCAAAGCUAGGGACCAAGGCGGCCUCGGCAUAAUGUCCUCCAAACGCAUGAACCUGGCUCUCCUCAGACGAUGGCUAUAGUGCAUUGUGAAUGGCGAGGGUGGCCUGUGGUUGCAAAUCAUCCGGACCAAAUACCUAUGCGAUCAACCUCUUGCCUUCUGCAUGAGGACGGGAGGCUCCUAG
rnacentral:rRNA from 1 species